rnacentral:misc_RNA from 1 species
UGUUGAGUCAACACAACAGCUGAAGUUUAAUCGCUGUUUACGUUUGGCUGCGAAACCUCGGCGGUGCCUUUUGCGUGGCUGAGCAAAUGCGUCCUCCUGUCCAUCAGCAUAUAGCCGUGGACGUUGGAGAGCUGCGUGACUGGCACGCAGGGUGACAAUGGCGCACCGAGAUAAGUGCACCACUGAUCACGAGCAACAGUUUGACAACUCUUCAACGGUCUUGGAGAAAAUUGCUGGCUUGUAUGCAGAGCGUCUCCUCAGUGAUAUUACCUUGGAAGUUGGUGGAAAGCAGUACGCUGCACACCGGCUGAUCCUGUGUGCUUCCAGUGAUGUUUUUCAGGUUAUGCUGAUGGACCCCAAAUGGAGCUCCAGCAGGACAUCGCACAUUGAGCUGAAGGAGGAACCCCUCUGUGAAAAUGUUUUUGGCGACUUCCUUGGUUACCUAUACACCGGCCGUAUGCGUGUUGACCAUUUGCGUGUGCUGCCAUUGGUGGCCCUGGCCGACAAAUAUAAUGUCAAGGACCUCAUGCGCCUCUGCAUCAGCUACAUGGCUCACCACAUCGUGUCUGCUGCCUACCACAACCAGCUGGUCUCCUGGUACCGGUACACACUAAACUGUGGUUCUACUGCGGUACACAAAGCAUUUAGCAACUUUAUUGCCUGGAAUUUUGAGCUUGUAGCUAACACAGAAGACUUUGGAAACAUUGAGCUGGAUGUCCUUACCUCCUUCCUGCGUAGAUCGGAUUUAGUCAUUGCUAGCGAGUUUCAGCUGUUCAACUAUGCUGCCCGGUGGCUGUCCCUGCAGGAACCAUGGCCACAGUGCGCUCGGCCUGGCAACGAGGAAGCAUUUGGGCAGCUGGUGAGCCAGGUAAUGGCACAUGUGCGGUUCCCCAUGCUGACACUUGAUGAACUGGACGGGCUGCUCUCGCACCCUCUGGUGGUCCGCUUCCAAAGCAUCUUCUUUGACCGUCUGGUGAUAGCCCUGGACUUCCAGACACGAGCACGUACAAAUGGGUUUUGGCGUCAGUGGCCCGAACUGAUGGUGCCUCGCAUUUACACGUCAGACACGUGGUCAGCCUCUUUGUGCAUUGACAACUACCCCUGCCGGACUAGAUUUGGUGUGCAUACACUAAUCUUUAUGACACCUGGCAGCCUGUCGGGGGCCUUGGCGGACAAGCUACUCGAAUGGACUGUUGAUGUGUACCCUAAGGGGGUGCUGUUCCACCGGUUCCUACUGAUUGCACUGCGUGAGACACUAGAAGGGCCAGAAUCACAGACCAAGACUGUGCGGCUGUCACUUACUUCAAGUCGUUUCAACGAGGACACAACAGUGGUGGUGAGCAUUUUGGUGAGUGGAAUGCAGGAUGGUGUGGAGCAUGUGCGCACAGUAGUGCAGCGCGAGCAUACAUUCACCCAGGAGUCACGCAUGCUCAAUCUGGACGACCUGGUGCCCUAUGCGGAGCUCAACGAUGUGCCCCGUGGUGCCUCACCCUUCCUUGUGGGGCCCCAUUGUGACCUCUUCCGUUUGCGCAUCUCCAUCACACCCUUGUGCCGUAAGAGCUAGGCAUGCAGGGCUAUACUUCGGAUUGUUGGUCUUUGUGCCUUUCUCAGACAUCUGGCCUCUCGUUCUGGACUUGCAGUUGUGGCCACUGUAUUAGUGGCAUUUAGCAGGGUGGUGUACCUGCUGCUCUAGGUGUGCUCAAUUAACUGAAGACCAAUGGUGAAUAUGUUACAUUUAAUAUCGUCAAGGUCAGUGACAUUUGGGCCAAGCUCGUUAAGCGCACCAAUGGUAUUCAUGCAUGGGGCUGAAUAUUGUAGUUCGUGUUGGUGGUUGUAAUUGUUAUGUGAGACAUAAUCAUGGUCAGGUUAUAUGGCUAACAUGCCAAAAGUAUAUAUUCAAUUUGUUUGCUGCAGCAAAGUUUUAAACACCUAGGUUUGUUUGCAACUGUGUUUGCAUCAUCAAGGUAGCACUUAGCAGUGUGUUGUGCACUUUUUUAAUUUUGGCUGUUAGAUGCUUUCCUGCAGUGAAUAUAGUAGUUGACUCAUAACAAAUUAUGCUUGUUAUAUUGUUUACCAUUAUUGAAUUUAGAAUGUUCAUCUUUCCUAAUGAAUUGCUCUUAUUUGCACCUUGGAGGUGCCUUCACAAGGACAAAAAUGUAGUCACAAGUAGAUGUAACUUGUCUCACAUUGCAGUCGAGCCCAUUUAUAUGACGAACCUGGAUAUUUGAAUUAUUGCCUAUAUUGAACAGUGAGAAUAUGCCCUUGAAAAGACUAUGUCGAUGUAUGGGUGCACAGUGGGCCUACAUUGAAACUCCUGCGACCGAUACAUACGAUAUAUUUUACUGCAUGCAGCACUGUGGCCUAUGAAGGGCAAAUUGGUGUGAGCAGUACUGUUAGGCAGGUGUUGUCAUUGGUGACUCACUGCAAUAGACGCAUUGCUGAGACACUCGAAACUUGGUGGAAAGUCCAUUCGGCAUUCAGAUCCGAUUGCUUCUAUUAAUGGGAUGCACGGUGACUGGCCAUGAUCUGUUUACUUAAAUAUGUUAUAAUGACUUCUUUGUUUCUGUCUAGAUAUCCCCUGAUAAAGCUGUAUUCCCACGACAGACGUGAUCGCGGACGGAUCAGUCACGUGACAUGUGACGUGAUUCGGAUCUCUCCGCUGCCAGCAUUCACACGACAGGGGAGAAUUCACGCUACAAGCGAGUAUUUCGGCAGUGAUCCCCGAGGAUCCCAACUGUGAUUUGGGCCUCCGUCGUUUCACGAAUCGGUCCGCGCGGACCGAAGCGGGAACGCGGGAACGGCUGACGUAGGGUGACGUACGCAAUCCGCAGGCUCGAAUCGCGAUUUCGUCCGUCGUGUGAAUACAGCUUAACCAACAGUAGCUGUGAUGGUUCCACAUGUUUCAUGUGGGCCAUUCAGUGGUAUGCAUUAUGCCAUUUCAUGUGGGCAUAUGUGGUGAGUGCAGAGUGCAUUACAUUCAUAAUAUUCACUCCAGUAAUUUUUGCCCAGUGACUGUGCAAUGGCAUGUAGAACCACAACACUAAUCAAUGUGUAGUUGCAUAGCGCAAAAGGUGUGUAUAAGUUAGCUAAGAACAUUUCUGUAACUGAACACUCAUUUUGUUUGCAUUUCUUAUCAUCCUGAUGCUGCAGUGUGUCAACAUACAACAUAGCAGGAGAUUAUCAGGUAUGAAUUGAAAGUUUUGGUUAAAUCUCAAAUUGAUACAUUUUGUACACUGACUUAUCAUUAUGGGCAGCAUGUGCCACUUGUAAGGGUGCCACAGAAAGCCACCUGUCAAUGGAUUUUUAAGUCUGAGGUGGGAAGAGUGUGGCUGGCUUGCCAAGCACUAAGAACUACAGAUCUACAGGACUGCAAUUUUUGACAAAAAACAUUUUCUGUGUUGACAGCACCCAUAAUAAAUGUCACUUUGCAAGAGGCGGCAUGUUUUCAAUGCGACUGUGAUCCGAUAUGGCGCAGUAGAUAUACGAGCAAAGUUCUUUUCUCCGGACAAGCGUAACAGCACCUAGCUGUUAGUGCAAUCUGUUAGGACACGUAAUUCGGAGGUUGUGGGUUCAUAUCCCACCGAUGGAAUGGAUGAUUUUUCAUCCACUUCAUUUCAUUUUACAUCACAAUUAGUGCACUACAGUUAAAGACAAUUAAUGUCCUCUAUGCUUUCCCUGGCCUAAUUGUCUGUUCGAUUCAUUUGGUUGUGUUGUUCCUGUUGUUUCAUAUACCUUGCAGUUGUCCAGUGCUGACUUGUUUGCAUUAUUUGGUUAAUAUAACAAACUUGCUGUACCCAUGCAACAAAUGGGAGCACCUAAAGCAGUGACAGCAGCCAUCCAUUUACUUCUGAUAUAGAAUGCACGGAAUGAUCACCUUGGCAAAAAAGUGACACUUUGCAAGCCAUUGGUAAUGUAAACUUGCUAAUUCUUACAAAAGUAUGUAAUCUAAUCCAUGGGGCAUGUGCUGUAGCAUGUGCUCUUUCUGUCCCCUCUGGUUCCUUUUAGUCUUUAAAAAGCCCUGCACCACAUUUCCCUCUUAAACUUCAUAUACCAUACCAUUUGUUUCAAUGUUCGUUAUUGGCUUGAACAAUGAUGCUCUGCAGUUAUAGCUUCUUUAAGACACAGUGCAUGACUGAUCAGAAAGGAAGAUCGGGGAAUCAAAUGAAAUGAAACAGGCUCAGAAAUGUGCCUACAGGUGCUUAAUAUAAUGUUCUGGCCCACAGUACCCACUAAACCAGGAAAUCCCAUGGAAUAAAAGAAGAUGCAGGAAGAUGCUGUGAACAUGGACAGCAUGGUCCUCUCCUUGCAAGCGCAUUAGAAUUUAUCUAUGCUGAGUGGUGUAUAUCGCAAGCAUGAUUCAGAGCCAUUUCCUACUGUAAAUAGCUGUGUCCACUGGAAUGCAUAUUUGGGCGCAGUUUUUAUUUUAGCUUCACGCCUUCACUGCUUUCUGAAGAUUGAGAUAUAGUUUUACAGCUGUUGCUUAUUUUAUGUAGGAGCAAGGUGCCAGUUUAAAUUUUGGAUGAUUUCAAGCUUUGAUUGUGGAUCAUGAUAGCAAGCAUGCCUUAAAGGGUCCCUGCAACACUUUUUCAAGUAAUCAUCGAAUGGCUUCAUUAAGAGAGCCUAUUGCCUCACGAAUCAACUGCCGCAAAAAAUUUUUUACAGUCCGUCAAGUACAAGCAGAUUUACAGGAAUUAGUCGCACGCUUCAAGCGCUUUCUCUCUCCUUUCGUACCAGCGAUGGUGCUUAAGGAGGGGAUGACUAGGGGGAUGACAAGGGGCAAGAAGAUGCAUCCACUCGUCAGCAUGCAUCAUGACCUUGAGCACUUUCUUUUUGUUUUCUUCUUCGAACGCACGGCUUACUUUCAGUGUGAUCGCAAGCGCCCGCGGGCACAUGGCGGCAUCCUUCGGUGGCCUCAGUAACUAUGCAGCUCACGAUGCUGAAAUCGGCCAAUGGCCAUAGACUUUGGGUUUAUGGCGCGGUCAUUUGGGUUUAAUGGCAUCAUUUGUUGAGAGAAGAGGGAACGAUUUCUAGCUGACUUUGAGAAUUGAUUGUAAAUUUCAGGCUGUGUGCUGCACUAUAAUGUUUGGCGUGCGUGAUCUCAGGAGCCUCGGCUACCGAUCGGCAGUGUUUUCUGACCAUGCUGAAAAAGUGUUGCAGGGCCUCUUUAAUUCAUGAACAUUUUGACCAUGACCUUAUAAACUGAUUGUGAGUGCAACUGAAUCAUUGCUCACAAAUAAAACAAUAAACAUUAAAGGACCCCUGACACCAAAAUUUCAAACUUGAAAUGUUCGUCUUGUCCCAUUCUCCUGCAUAAAUGGAUGGCUCUGACCGCAUAUUAGUGGCAAACAUAACCUUGAACAUAUUUCAAUAUGGUUUUAAAGCAAGCGCGAGUGCCUAUCUGAUUUGGCAGCACCACUCGACGUCAUCAUCAAUAUGAUGCGUUUUAGUGGCUGCUCGGGCUACCUCCAAGUACUGUUGACAUCACAGACAGAAGUUUGCGGGGUGCACGCAAUACAACUACUGGUGCCUGAUGGUGGCUGUUGUUCCUUGCCUCCUUCGCUCUGUUGUCGGGCUGCUAUAGGUGGUUCUGGCUGCUUAUGCCAGUGGUGUUUUAAGUACUGUAGCAAGGAAUUUUUUUAUGAGGGAGCACACUCUUUGCAGUCCACAGCAAAGAGUGUGCUGGACAGGCAGGUGUCUCGUGUGUUGUUCUGUUGUAGGUGUCUUAUAGCAGACAGAAAUUUUGGCAGGAGAAUGUGCCCAGUGCGUCACACACUAGCUGACACCACAGCACCCAUGUCGUUUCAUUCUUUCUUGCACGCAGUGCCCUAAUUCAAAAAGCAUGUUCUCAAUGUCACCAAAGCUUGAGUGCAUGUUAUCUUAGGGCACUCCGCUGCGGUGAAGUUACGCCAAAAUUGGAUCUAAUUAUUGAUGCUAGCAUUGAUUAUACGAUACUUUAGAGCAUUUACGAUUCACUUUUGUGGUUAUCAGACACAAAGCUACCAAUUAAAAGUCACAAACAAGAAUUUGGCCGUCAGGGGUUCUUUAACAUGUGCACAAGAAGGCAGCAUACAUUAUCUGCAUCACACAGAGGCUGCAGUGUCAUGCCCACCUAUGUUUGUGGGUCCAUGUGCUAGAAGCUCUUGCACUCAUCAGUGGUAGUAUUUGAAACACGCUCGUGACAUUGCUGAUAGUUGUAUAUUCAGCAUGCACACACCAUUAGACACCGCCCAAUUAAAAAUGUAUGAAGAAAAUACAGUAUUGGUAUCUCCCAUCUCUUAUUGACUGCACUACUUUCAGGUGGAGCAAUGGUCACAAGUCUCACCUCCUACACCUGCCACCAUAGUGGCAUAGUGGCAUAGUUGGGGAUUAGGGUAUGUGACCAGGCUUUAAGAGUGUUUAUCAAUCUUUGGUUGAACUCUAUCCUGUCUACAAAAAUCAAGUAGUCAGGCAGUUGACUAUUUGAUUUUUGGAGACAGGCUGGUGACCAGGCUAGUUAUUGUUAAGCAUCGCGAAGCUGGACAAGGGACAGAGAAAAAAUAGCGUGGAUGAAGACAUGGGCUGCUUAACAGCACUUGUAUUGGUUUGUCCCCCAUUUUUCUCCAUCCUUUGUUUAAGGUAUGUGUGGAACUGUCAUGCUGAGCAAAAGGUCUUGGGUUUAACUCCCAGUAGCUUUGUGGCAUUUCAAUGGGGGUAAAAGACAAAAAUGCUUGUGCACUGAGAUUGUGGUGCACAGUAAAAGGCCCCAGCUGGUAAAAAUAAACCUGUAGCCCUCCACCAGUGUUUUUAUGGCCCAAGUGUUGCUUUGGGUCAUAACCACCAUUCCUUAAUUCAUCGAUUUAUUAUUGGCAUGCUGAGUUAUUGUGUGGUUUCCAUUGAGUUCGAUAUAUCUGGGCUCAACUGUAUACAAUGCUUAAUGUCAAAUCGGAUGCUGCUUGGUUAUGAUUAAAUGUGCAGGCCAUUGAAAAGUAUGUGUUCUUAAAAUUUGUUAUUCUGAAUAAUGUGCUUAUUGUGUGCAAAAUAUACAGGCAAACUAUCCUGUGUAUAGUGCACAAUGUAGUCUUGUGCUAAAAUAAUCAGAUCGUACUGAUUACAGCCCAAGUGAUUUUUCAUUCUGGAAUGCCACUGACCAGUGUUGAAUUGUCCCCUUUUUAUAUAUUUUUACUGAUGUGCUAACCUAGGUGCUUAUGACAGGCUUUGUAUUUCAUGUCUAACCUACUAUUGAUUCAGAUGUAAAUUGAAGGUCAUCUGAAAAGGCCUACAUCUCGGGAAAGGCACUGUAAUAUUCAUCUUUAUAGGGAAGUGUUUUGAAAGGCUCAGCCUUUUCUUGCACUCAUUUUUGAAGGGAAAAAAAGAGCAAAUCUGACUAAUACAUCCAUAACAAUCUUUCUUGAGCAGUCUGAAAAGUCUAAUCAAGUAAUCAGAAGCAUUGCAUGCUAGAAGUUUGUUUUUGUUGCAGUUGUUAAUGUACAGGGUCGUCCAGACCUAAGGUGAACACCUUAUUUGUAUUCAAGGCCUCAUAGAAGUUGAUGUUUAAUACAUAAUUCGGAAAAUUAUUGUUUUUGUGGACGCCAUUAUUAUACUACAUAUAGCGCACAUUUCUCUCAUGAAAUAGAAUUAAUGUUCUAGUUUUACCGUCUUGAAUACUAAUGAGGUUUCACCUUAGAUGUGGUCGACACUGUACAUGCUAGCUGUAAAUUGUUAGUUUCUGAUGAACUUAUUGCUAACAAAACCACACGACAUUUGACCUUUAGGCUGGCGACCUCCAUGCAAAAUAUUUUAGAGCAGUAUUUUCUGCCCAUUUUAGGCUUGAUUUUUGUUUCCGGCUUCUAAAGCAUGCAUUGUAAUGAUGCUUGGAUUCAAAGACAUAUUUGCAUAAGGGGGUGGUAUAAUAGAAAUCGUUUUUGUUGGGACUCCUACUCUUGCUUUUAUUUUUAUUGACUUCUAAUAUUCCUCCUACCUUUGGUGAGCCUUCCUCCAUUGGCAGCGUGCAGUUCGGUGUUGGCUGCAGGUGUAUUCUUUUCUUCAAGCUGUGGAAGAACUGUGUGGCCCCACAAAACUUCAGGCGGCAUGUUUUUGGUACCCAUGUUUGCUAGAAAACUGAAGCAAUUUGUCUUGUAGUCUAGUAUUGGUACGUGUUCUUGAUAUGUUCAAAUAUAAAACACACCACAUGCAUCAUGCUGGUGUAGUUAGCUUGUUUUUACAUUUUGGAAUGAAUUUUCUAAAUCUAUGUUUUAACUGUGUGGCAAAAUACUAGGUGCUAUCUGGAGGGCCUUACGUUUUAUCUGGCUAUUGCAACUUACUGUUCUUUUCAUUAUGCACUAAAUUUAGCUGGUUACUUCAAAGAAUGAAACUGCCAGUCUUUUGGGAUCUGUGUGUGUAAACAUUAAAGGGGUCUAUAUUGCUUAAUAUACCUAAUAUUCAAGAAACCAAAUAAUAGGCAAUCAGCUCAUGAAUAAAAAUUUUUGAGCUGCUACUAUUCAAUACAUGUAUUUACAAGUAAUUACACACCCUUGCCUUGUACUGCUAUGCGAAGCUGUAUUUAUUGACAGUAACUAAUAGCUCUAAUUCAUUUUAAAUUCUUAUGCUUGCUGUCCAAGAAGGCUUAGCAUAGUAAUGUGAAAAAGCUGGAGCUUUGGUAUUGGAAUCUGUAGCAGGUUACACUGCCUCUGCAGUGCUGUCUGCUACAGUAGUGGGUGAAGGUUAGCUUGCCACAAAGAGAAAGUGACUCUUGCACACUAAGUUAUGUUUUGUUUACCAUUAUAGAGUACUUUGCAUGGUUUAUGGUUAUUGGCCAGGAAUGAAAAAGCCGAGUAACAUUUGUGUGUAUGUUCACAGCUAUUCAAAUCAGACAGCAUUCUAUGAUAGAUGAUGUGGUGAAGGCAGCUCUUGCUACACUCUUUGCACUCGUGCACUAUGUCUUAACUGCAUUCACUGAAAUGAUGGAUUAUAAUGCAAACUGUGUCCUUCUACUAACUUUGCCCCCCUUCCAGCCCCUACUUUGCCCUGCAUGUGAUUGGGAGCCUGUGAAAAAAUCUACUGCCUUAAACUAGCCUGAAUGGACACAUACAGGUUAAUAAUUUGAUAUUUUCAGGGCACACAGAGCUAAUUUAAUAAUAUACAUUCAAAAGUUAUCUGACACCAGAAUAUAGAAUAAUAAUUGGAGUGUCACUGGUCCUCAUGGUAGCAUUUAUUAGAAAUAAUAUCUUAUUUAAUUUUCUGUCUUAUCAUAACCAUCUUUAGAACUCAAAAAGGGUCUCUACCUCUUUUGCCUUAAUGGUGCCCCAGACAAGUUCAAAUAUUUGAGAUUAAGGAGUGUGGAAUGUAUAGCAUGCAGUUAUGACAUGUGCUGAAUAUUGUGGCACUACAGAUCCUGGCGAUCUUCCAAAGACAAGAGCAUACAUUUUUACCAAUGCUGAUGCUAUUCUGCUGCGUGACUAUGUCUGAAAUUUUAUGUUCCAGUUGUCCAUGCACUGAAUAACCUGUUGUGCCACUACAUAUUUAAAGCAAAAGCUUCUAAGUGCACGCAGAACAAGGACAGAAGAACUAAGAAUUUGACAGGACAGCACUCAGAUUCUUAGUUCUUCUGACCUCGUUUUUCGUGCACUUAGAAGCUUUUGCUUUAAACAUAAAUGUCCACCAACUAGCCCAUCUCGCCAUCUUGUUGUGCCAUUAGAGGGGACAAAUAAAUGUCAACCAAGCAUAUCUGUUAUUUUUUCCAGUAUGUUCUUCAGGUGUGCUCUUUUGCUGCUAUCAGAACCAUUCGAAGAAACGAUGCUGAUAGGGGCAGUUCAUUGUGGCCGUGUUUGAAAGGAGUAACUGCAUGAAACUUUGUGUCCUGCUUUUCUUUAUAGUAUGGGUAGCUGUUGACUCCACAGUUACAGUAUGAAGUCUCUAUUACUUGAGCACUGUAAAUAAUGAAUCGUAAUAUGUUACAUGACAUUAUGUUAUACGACUUGUGCAAAACACCCAUCCAGUGCAAUGCGGUUUCAGAUGUGCAAAAGGCUACUCAUCAUGUCCGCGAAAGCAAAGGCAGUGGUCAUGUGGUAUCAAAAACAACUAGAGAACCCACAUGCCCUAUGUGCUGGUUGAAGGUCAUACAAUGGUCAUGUUGUCAAUAGCUGCCUAAGUGGAUCUUUCAUUUGUUUGUUCCUCUUAGAAGUACAGGGGGCCAUGCUGUUCCGUCUUGUCUGAUUGAGUGCUGGAUGGAUUCAUGUCAUGGCAGCACACCCACGGUGUGCAUGCACAAGUCAGUGAUAUCGGGUGCCAUGAAACUGCAGCAUUAGUUUUAGAUGGAGUGAAUAGUCUCUUUUUACGCAUCGAAAGCUGUGAUGUAAUUAUUUGUUGUACUCUCUGGUGAUUAAGGCUCCAUAGCGUAAUUAUAGGGUUGAUGAGCAUUGGGCACGCGUGUGCAAUGAGGAAAAUAGAAUUCUUUCUUGGCUUAUUGAUUUCAGAGCAGCGAAAUUUCACCGUAAGUUCUCUUCCAAAAAAGUCUGUUGGUGAAAAUUCUCUAAAGGGGUCAUGUCAACUGCAAGUAUAAAAAUCUUUCAAGCUGUGUGUAGCUUGAAUGCCUUUAAUGCUUGCCAAUCCUCUGUAAAUUACAUGAUAAGCAGAAAAUUGAAAAUCAAUUGCCAGAGCAUGUAGCUGCCAUGCCAUGCACAUAGCAGAUCAAGUGCCCAUCACUGAUAAGGUUGUUUAGCCUCACUUUCAGGCAAAUAUGAAUGUCCACAAGCUCACUUGCUACAUGCUUGUUUAAUGGGGAGGUGUAAACACCCAUGUCACUCAUGGGUGUCUGUUAACAUGUUUAGAUUUUUUGUGUAGAAUUGGCCAGAAUUCAAUACUCUGUAGAAAUUACUAGUGUUUUCAUGCCUGUAACCAAUUAUGAACUAAUGUGAUGAUAGUCUUCAAGUUGUGCAUUAAAAGCAAUCAUUCAACCUUGCCAGUUAAAGAGUUAAUGAGUUUAAAAUUCUUAGAGUGCAGCUCUCAGGCUCCAGUUCCUACGUUGAGCGUCGGCAUGCCUCGUCCCUGAGUGAACAAGCAGAGUGAAAGAUGAAAGGGUGAGGAGGAAAGCAAUGCUGCAUGAUACUACAAUAUGGUGCUGUAGUAUUUGUAACCUGAUUGUGCGCGUGCCACAAAUUGUGUAGUACUUUCUCGAAGCCACGCAAUUACUAUGGAAUCUUCAAUGAGUCAUGUAUAAAAACAGAUGCGCUUGACCCGCAGAUCAGCUUUUCGCUAGAUUUUUCUGAACAAUGAGCGAUGCGAAAUGUUGUCUGUAACUGCACAUAUAUACAUGUCUCUCUCAAAUUCUUUGCCUCAAUAUAUUGCAAAAUGAAAACACGCAUACAGCUGCAUUCUUUCGCAUUAUGGAGUAUUGUAAUCAUCAGCAAUUUUUAAAAUUUCUUGUCUAAAUAUUAGCCCAAAUCAUCUUACAUUUUAUGCCUUUUUUGGUAAAAGCAAGCUGAUGCCUAAUUGUUUUACCCUCUGCUUACACCUUUCUAUUUUAAAGGGGUGCUGGACCACGUGGGCUUGAUGAGAAAACACCUGCGAAUACAACACAGUGUGAACAUCUCACCCAAAUUUUGUAGUUGUGCAUAGCACAGGGAGUUCACAAGCAGAAUGGGAGGUUAAAACAUCCUCCUUUUAAACAAAGUGAUGGGGCAGCCACCACUGCCCAUUUUUUGACAUCAUCAAGCAGAUUCCCAGCAAGAGCUCCCAUUGGCCUUGAGAGAUUUUGUCUCAAGGCAGUAUGUUUUGGUCAGUGCGCUUCUUCCUACGUUUUCUGUGUAUAUUUAUUGAUGAAGAUAACCAAACAGGCUGUAGCACUUGAACCUGCAUUUUGAAUUUUGAUAAUAAUCGCUCAUUUUUUAGAGAAACCAAAUACAGCCUGCCAACGUUCGACUGCACCUGCCAGAUAAAAAUGAAAUGAGUGCUGUAGGCAGGGCAGUGCAUUUUUUUGUAAUGGAUAUAGUCUAGUACGGAUGGGAAAAUGGACUAUAGCACUCACAGUACCACCACUUGUAUUGAAUCUGCUUAAAAACCUUUUUCGGUGAUAUAUUUUUUUAGAGGAAAUUUACUGAUUCCAUAGCUUCUUUAAGGCUUCCAUAAAAGGUGGUUCAGGGUCCCUUUAAAGGACUUGAAAUGCAUUUUAUUAGACACCCUGUGCGUUGCAGCUAUCUAACUUGGAAAGGUAUACUUCGAAGUUUAAGCUACUUUUAAUCAUGAGAUUGGGGCAGCUUUCUUCGACACAGUUCAAGGACCAAGUCCUUGAGGAGUCUUAUUGUCGUUGUCAAAAUGACUCUUACACAAGCUGAAGUACUGAAUUAAUGUUGUAGGCCUCGUAGCAAUGUCUCUAGUCCAUUACAACCUCAGAAUAAAUACAGGCUCUGCCCACAGCCAUUGUCGUCCCUCGCAAAAAGAAUUUGUACAGAUGCUUCAUCCAGUAAAGUUCGCUUAUUUUUGGGACGUCAAAUGCUUCUGUGUGUGUUUAGGAUAGUCAAAAAUUUGUAGCUGGUUUUUGGUUACUAUCUUCAACGUCCCAACAAAUUUUAUCCGAGAUUCUGAGAUCGGUACUUGGCCAAAAGUAGCAUUUUAAUCAGAAAAGACAAACUUUUAUUUUAUAAUGUGCCUAGUGUUUACGUAAGCAGAAAGAGCAUGCUUGCACUUUGAACAAAAACCAGCUGAUACCAUGCUCUUACAGAGGUGGACAAAUGUGCCGCAUUUUUGUGGGUGGGGCUUAUAUUUAUCCUUAGGUUUUAACCGACUAUAGUAUGUUUAUAAAGUAGUAUGCUUACACCAACUUAAAAUAUAUAAUAGGGUGACAUGGAGGGUAUAUUGAAAAGUUGAAUUACGAUGAUAUCCUUUAGAAAAUGAACUAUAAUGCGAUAUAUUGUAGUGGAGUGUAACAUGGCUAUGUCAACACUUUAUUUUAUUGCCACUGGAAGUAUGAGAACAGACUAAAUAAACCUAAAAGAACGAUUUUGCCUAUCUUUUAUGGCUAUUACUUAUGGAAAUGACUUUAGGACCCCCACUGAUAAUGCUUACCAUUUUAAAGUUUUGUUAAGAAGUUCCAAGUUAAUAGGAACUAAUAAAAAAUUGCACCAAAGAUACCCACGGAUAUGGUUGGCACCUUGUAGAAUAUUUUAAGUGCAAAUUUUAAAAAAAAGUUGUCAGGAAUGUGAACAUGCAUGAUUCAAGGUUCCUCAAGGUCUGGUUUGUCAAAAAUGUGGAUAUUCCAGUGUCUUGUACAGUUGUGAGAUACAUGCUUAUGUGGCCACUGCAAGCAAGUGCCACGCCAUGGCUUGCCUGUGCUGCAUGUCACUCUCCUUACUGAGCAGUAGGAAAUUGAUGAAUUUGAGCGAUGGUUUUUCUUGACAAGCUGGGAAGCUUCUGCAGAUCAAAAUUUCAGCUGUAGAUGCAGUCAGACGUAGCCAGAGGGUGUCAGUGUUCCUAAAGUGAAUGCCACAAAAUGUGUUCUUUGACGUCUCUAACUGCUGAAUUCUGCAGAACAGCAGCGCUAAGUACUUGGCUGAUUGUAUUGGAUCUCCUGAUUUUCAUCUCCAUCUGCUAUGCUUCAUUACUGAUGCCUCAAAUGGGCUCUGGAUAUACCACUGUUUUAAUUGUGCUCUUGUAAUGCUUGCAACAAACAUUUACGUUCUCGUUAGUUGAUGUUGUUUGUUAUGGUUUCUGGAGUACAUGUUCUUGUAUAAGGUAAUGUGCUAGUUUUAACUCGGGAAGGGCAUGGUGUCAGCCAUAACCUGAUCCUCUGCAGGAAUUUGUGCAUACAGGGAAUGAUUAUGCACUGGUACUGAGAUAAAGUAGUAACCACCACAGAGCCACAUCCGCACUGUAGAAGCAUGAGAUGCAGGAAUACACGUAUGUGGCUGACUGAAAGUAGAAAGCACUGCUAGUGGAUGAUGAUGUACGUAGUAGGUGAAAUGCAGAUCUGGGCACACCAAAUUUGAAUUCAGGAGAAAGGCCACUGCUUAAAGGGCAGGGGGUGGGGUUUCAGAGGUCCUUUGAUAUGAAAUUCACUCACAAAAGUCAAGGUGUAAAGGUUUGCCUAAAGUACAUUUUCUUUCUUUUUUUUUUUAACACCAGUUUGUCGUGCUGUGGUUUCUUCUGUAAGAUUGAUGCAGUUGUGAGUUGAAAUAGCACAUUUAAUACUUGGGUGGUGCAGAAAGUAAUAGGUUUUUCUUUUUUCACAGUUUCACCAGGUGUGAUAUUGAAAGAGUAAUGUUUCAUCUUAAAAAGGAUCCCUUAUUUUUCUUUUCUUGUAGGCCUAAUUUUUUGCCUUUACCUCUUCUCUUCUCUUUUUGUUUUUGUUUUUUAGCACCCGGAAAUGUGAAAAUUUCUUUCCUGAAGAACUCAGUUCGUACCUUCUGAAGUUAGUGAUAUCGGCUGCUUGGAUUACUCUAAUGUCUGUCAUAGGGACUUGUACAAUACAAAUUUAACCGUAUUUAGGUAUGAAUUUGCUUCAUCACAGCUGUAGUGUGGGCAUAAAUGAAGUUUCACUGUUCCACCUUUUUCAAGGAUAAGGGAGUGGUUUGAGGUUGUGUAUUGUCAAACUCCAACGUGACUUUCCGUCCAGCAUAUGCAUCACGUGAUGCAUAACACUGCUAAAUAUAAUGAGCUAUUUCUGUUCAGCACAGACUUCAGGGAAUCAAACAAUAAAAUUGAGUGCCCUGCAUGACUAUGCCUACGCAGUACCUCCUCCCUUUCAUAGCACUGGUCUGAUUGCCGCUGAAAUUUUUCUUCUGUCUUCUACAGCUGCCAGUUUUAAAUUUACCUGACUGUUUUCUUUUUAAGAAAUAUAAUGACAUCAUACUGAUAACAUGUUAUGGACAGAUCUUGUUUCAAGUACUUGUUUAAAAAUGUGCAGCAUGUUGAUAACAAUUAUUGCACAAAAGAGGGCUCAAUCUUGUGCCUGUAAGACUUCCAUGCAUAUGAAUGAUAGACAACCGGACCUUAGAAUGUAUAGAAGAGUAUGUAUAUGUAUCUAUGUCA